rnacentral:tRNA from 1 species
GCCUCGGUAGCCUAGUGGUCAAGACGCUCGCCUGGUAAACAGGAGGGCGUGGGUUCGAUCCCAGCCGAGGCA